rnacentral:lncRNA from 1 species
CCGCCCACCCAAAAAUGCUUAUGUUGCUCAGACCGAGACUACAUGUAACAAGGGAUUUUCUUUAUCUGAAGGGGAGUAUAAUGAGUUCCUUCAAUAUCGAGCAAGUAAGCAGACAUCUCCACAAGUAGCCUCUGUUGACUGAUACUUCUGUUGCUGGUAAUUCUUUUACUUGUGUUUCCCAGUCUAGUACUCUUGGACAAUGGGUUCUGGACUCAGCCGCUUCUGAUCAUAUCUCUGAUAAUAAAUCACUUUUGUCAAAUAUUGCGUAUUUUACUUUAGCCAAUGGGUCUCAAACUAAAGCAAAAGGUGUUGGACAAGCGAAUCCCCUAGCCUCUGUCAUGCUAGAUUCCGUUCUUUUAUGUCCCUGGCUGUCCUUUUAAUCUUGCAUCUGUUAGUCGUUUGACUCGUGCCCUCCAUUGUGGUAUAUAUUUUAUUGAUGAUUCUUUUAUUAUGCAGGACCGCAGUACGGGACAGACGAUUGGAACAUGACUUGAAUUAGAAAGCCUUUACUACCUUAACUCACUCAAUUCCUCCAAGGCAUGUCUAGUUACAGAUCCUCCGG